CAUUAAACAUUGUGACAUCGGGGGUUUCUUAUAGUAAUAUAAGAUUAGUAGUAGGCUAUAUGCUGGAACUUACUAUAAUUUAUAGUGACAAUCAGCAGGGAAGUUUAAGUCUUUAUAUUUAAACACCCUCAACGACUAAACGCCUACAUCCAGAAGAAUAUUCUACUCUCGAAUACUGGAUGAAGAUAUAGUCUAAACCUUAAGGAUUCUUAAGG
rnacentral:ncRNA from 1 species